CACACUCUCACUGAGUUCAUGUUCUACAAUAUCAUUUCAUUUUACAAAUACUCAUAAGGCCUUUAAAGGACACAUAAACCCAACAUCUCCCACUUGGCUUUUGACGGCCUUACAAUCUUUUUUUCUCACUUUCUCUCAUCAACAUCUCUCUCUCUCUCUUAAAUACAAUAUCUCCCUCAAGCAUUUUUCACUUAUUCUCUCUCAAUACAUUAAUAAUGGCUUUUGCUAUCAAUCUUUUUACAAAAGGACUUAUAGAGGUAACAUAUUUUUCUUUUUGCUGUUCGGAUCUCAUCCCAAAAGUGAUCGUAGUCCAUUUUUUAUAUCGCAUCGUGAAUCACGGACCUAUUAUCGCAGAAGAUCAUUAUGUAUCAUCAUCGCAUGGGGUCAUAUGUUCCUGGGCUCAAAGGAGUUCUUCAAACAAACUGCUCCCUUUUGUAGCCAUACAUCCGGUGCUGCACAUCAAGGUUUUAUGGGUGAACAACAUUAUAGUCAGUUGUUCCAGCUGGCUUGCCAAAUACUAGAAGGUGCACCCACUGAAAUAUUUAGUUUAUCUUGAUCUCAAUCUUUCUCAAUCUCACAUCAUUCUUCAGGGGAUAGAAACAUG
rnacentral:lncRNA from 1 species